AUGUCGCCCUCUUCCCCUACGCUAGACGCUCCGGGAACCGCAGCGGCGUCGUCGUCGUCGUCGUGCUUCGCUCUAGCAUGGCACGUAUGGAGCGUAUGCGCGCUCCACGUCGCGCUCGUCCUCUCCUCCGUGGCCGCCGCCGCCCUCAUCGUCGUGCUCCUCCCCUUCGCCUGCACGGCCGCCUCCCUCUGGCUCGUCUGCGCGAUCGCGGCGCGGUUCCUCUCGUGCUCCGCCUCCUUCGCGCCGCUGGAUUGGACGGCACAGCACGCCGACGGCGACGACGCGUACUCGUGUGAAGAGGGGGAGGAGCAAGGCGGGGGAGCGGAGCUGGAAACACGCGGCCGAGAGUGCGCCGCUGCUUACAUCGAUGGAGCCCACGAGUCCAUCGAUCCUUACAUUGAUGAGCAAGAUCGUCGGUUUCUGUUGGUGGACACUGGGAACUACUACUACUGCAAAAAGUUCUACGAUCUCCUGGCUUUCUGGAGACGCAAAGAGAGAGACUGGAGAAGGUGA
rnacentral:rRNA from 1 species